UUGAAAGGGAAACGAUUGAAGUCAGUCAUGCUAGUGAAAAAUCAGUUUGACGGGUUUUGAGUUCUUGAGUAGAGGCAGGGUCAAACCGUUUCUCUUUUGGACUUGAGAUUUGUUAGAUGUACUUUUUCUUUGGCAGGCCAACGUCGGUUUCGGGGGUUGUAAAAUACUUGGGGGAAAGUAGCUCUGCUUCGGGAGAGUGUUAUAGACCCUGAGAGAUGCAGCCUGUGGGAUCGAGGAUUGCAGCAAAUGCCUUUUGGCUUGUCGCCUGUUCCUAGGUGUUCCCUGUCUUGUGACAACAUUCUGACGUCGUUGGAGUACUAAUGCCUACUGUUUAGAGCGGCGGAAAAUUCGUUAAGGAUGUUGACGUA
rnacentral:rRNA from 1 species